UAUUCCGGGAAAAGUGAAAGUGCUGCAGCCCCUGUUUAUGGCAGCCAUAUAAAUUGCAAUUUGCAGCGUUCUCUAUUUUUUGCUGCUGUUGUUACUACGUACUACGAGUAUAGCGAACGGGUUGGGAUGGGCAUAUGGGUCUGUGAUCCGUAUCUGCGGAUAUGUAUACUCGAUGCCACAUGCCGACAGGCAGCACAAAUAUUUGCCAUCGUAAAGCAAUCUGCCUCAGCUGCCCGGAGUCUCUAAACAGGCUGUCUGUUAUGACAAUUGAUUCCGCGCCGCCUUGCGAUGCAAUGCAAUGCGAUGCAUUAUAACAGUUCCCCAGUUGACCAUCUCGGGAGUGGAUGGGAGUGUCCAGAGUCGUAAAAAUUAUGGAAACCGAAUGCGAAUCCCGGGCACUUGAUGGCGGCGCAUGGCGGCCAUUCGAAUGGAUCAACGAACCCAAAAAUAACAGAUGCAGAUAUACAGAUAUGCAGAUAUGCAGCGCUGAGGUCGAACAAUUAUCAAUUGCGAUUACUUCAUUCGAAUCGAAAUGGAGCCUCCGUUUCGGGACUGCGUCUCCCUCCUCCAACUCGUCAAACUGGUUAACUGAUGCAACUUUGCCUGCCACUGGGCAUAAAUUGCAAUUUACGUUCCCUUUCAGGUCAUAAAUCCUCGUCGAUGUCUCCAUUUUCGUGUACAUCCAUUGGGCGGCCAUUACAACCACAAUUGACACAGUGAUUUACGGCAAUAAAAAUUAUUCACCUGCACAACCAGCCAACACACACAUGCGAAUCGGAGGACAACACACCUGGGCGGGGUGAGGGGAGGGGAAGUGGAGGAGUUGGGACCGCAGGCGACGCUUUGUCAUAAAAAAUAAAACGAAAUUGUCGUCAUUUUUAUGACUCCCUACCGUGGGCCCGGUUAAGAUUAAGAUUCCAGCUCUUCGGGCAGUGGAAAGUCGUAUUUUAGGCAGCUCCUUAAAAAGUCACUUGAACGGAAAACGCAAUAUAAGCCCAUACCCACUCGCUGGUGAAUAAGGAAAUACAGAAGCCGGAGAACGGUAAAGCUUCUGGGGCUUUGUGGACUUUUCUUUUAAUGAGCUGUCAGAAUUAUCAUAAAGCAAUUAAACGCAUUUCACACUCAUAA